AAAUCAAUAAGAUGUUUCAUCUUAUCUUAAGGUUUAAGCAGAUGGUAGGUGGUUCACUGCAGUUCACCGUGCUGCAGAGGAAAUAUUUUGCUCUGUGCUGCCAUGAGCGAGUGGCCAGAAUGAUGUUUUAAUCAGACCUGUUGGAUGUCCUCAGUGUGUUCUUGAACUAUCACUUAACGGGUGAGAAGCCCAAAAAGUCUUGGGCGGAGACCUCGCUGGAUUCUGCCAAAUUGCCACAGCAGGUAGAGCCUUGCUAUGCGGCCGAGGGGAAGGUUUCUUCCUCCUGGGUUUCUUUCCGCUCUCUAACUGUCCCGAGAGCAAUGUCUUGUGGGGUGAGGUCCAGCCCGUCAGAUGUUGCAGGCGUCCGAGCGGGGUUGGAACGGGUACCUCGUGUCGUGCGGGAGGCCCGCGGAGGUGUGGAAAGUCCUUUCGCAUCAGCAGCACAGGGCAUCGGUCUGGACGUGUCCCAGAAAGUGAGGUGGGAGCACUGACCUGGGCCUGCAGGAUAGGGAAACUGAGGCACUAAGCCGCUUUGCCACAGCUGGGACCAGGGGUGGCUCGGUACCUGCCGACCCCUGCCCUUUGCUAGGAAGCGAACUGGAGGACUCUUCUGGGAAGAGGGCAGGAGAGAAGGAUAUAGGAUAUGUAUUUAGAAGACUUGAACUCCUCCACUGAAUCAGGGGGAUUUGCCCCGGGGGACAGCCUGCCCUGUCCACGGGACAGCCUGCCGCUAGCUGGCCUUCCUCCCGGGCAGAGGAAAGUGGUGGAAAGACUAGGACGGGAAAUAAGGCUUUUGCUUUUCCUCCCUUUGCCUUGAACACGACAGCCCCGCUAAGUGCUGAACACUACCCGCUAAUGGAUAAUGACCUGCGGUGUGCAGCUGCCUCCUGCUCCUCAGAUAAAGGCUGCUUUUACUAUUAAUUGCAUUUGUAACAUGAGCGCAGUAGGUUCACAACCAAAAGGAUCCAGAAACGGCCGCAUCCGCGUUGCGACGGCCGCCUUCACGAAGCAGACGGUGUCCACUUCUUCUCGCUGUCCCCUGGGGGGAAAACAGUCGUGGGGAAGGAGGUGGUCCAGCUGCCCAAGAGCAAUUCCGCCUCUGCAAAGGAGCACGUGGAAAGGAGGCGGGAAAGGGUUAAAGCAACUUGUGGCCACUGGUGGCUUCCCACGGUCCGUGGGUGAGAAACACAGACACUCACGCCACGCAGAUUUCGGGGCUGCGAACAGUUCCCCUUCCUGAGGCGUAGCUCGGGUGAAAUUCCACCUGAACGAGAUAAAAACCCCGUUGUCGUUGUUUUGUUGUAUUUUUCCCUUUUACUCAUGCGAAGACGUAUUCGUCUCUCUGCCUUCCUCCCAGCUCUUCUUCAGGGCCGGAGGAGAGAGCUGGAGCCUCAUCUGCCGCGGGGAACAGCAGGGCUCAGCCGGGGCUGGGCUGGGAGCUGUGCGGGCACGGCGGCAGGGCCCCCGGCAGCCUCCCGCACCUGUGAAGCGGCUGCGGAAGCUUUUGGGAGACAUGAAGGAGAAAGACCUCACGUCUCCGGACUUGGCCUGCUUUAAAAAUGACUCUGCGUGCUUAUAGCUCCGCAGCAGGGGCUUAGCAAGUGACACUCAGCAGUAGCUACAAAAGGUUUUGGGGGCAAACCGCUCAUAUUCAAGUUGCAGUUAUAAGUAGCGAGGUAAAACAAGUAAUUUGCUCCUUAGGAAGCCUUUCACUCCGUGCAAAACGUCAAAAGGCACGCUAGAAACAGAUAAUCGGAUUUCUCCCUUGCCUCCUUCUUUGCUGUAUCCCUAAGCGAGCUCCGAGGGAGCACGGUGCCGCUGUCCGGCCCGCUCCCGGCCGCGGGCGCGCAGAGGCUGGGGCCUCCCUCUCCCUGGAUUCUGCUUUCUCUGGGUUUUGGUGUGAUGUUUUGUUGGCUUCUGUUUGGCUUUUUUGUUUGUUUGGGUUUGGGGUUUGUUUUUUUCUUUUUCCCCUGAUUUUAUAUUUUUUGCUUCGCUCUUUAAAAUUUCCCUUUCUUCAGUCUGUCGGGUAAAUUUAAGGACCCUCUUGAAGCUAAAAUGGACCCUAGAAAUACCUGCCUUGGCCCUUUCCUCUGUCAGUGGCUAUCUCUUCAGCUGCUGCCGCUGGGUGCCUCCCGAGCCGGAAGGGAAGGGGAUGGCAGAACUUCUCCGAGGGGAGACCUCGGAUGUUUUCACACGACGAGCGCGGCUCACGCACCUGCUGAGCGGGGCGGGCGAGCAUUGGCGGAGCUGGCUCGUUUGGCCCCGAAGGGAAAUCAAUAAUCUUUCGAAUCUCAUUCCCAGGCACUGGCUCCAGCCGGUUAACGAUUCAGCCGGCGACCCUCUUAGCAGCGGAUGACUUACCCAGGAUGAUAAAUAUACAGCUGCAUAUUUUUCAGUCGACCUGGCUUGUAGCGGUGGAAGCAACUCUCCCGUUUCUCUGCUGUUUAACUGCCCUCCCUCCCGCCUGCCUAAUGGAUGUCAGCGAUUUGCAGCCCGGUUUCCGAGCGCGGACUGAAGCGCAGCCCGGACGGAGCGGAGUAUCCCGGGCGGCGGCGCAUCACCACCCGGGGAGCGGGAACAAGAGGGGCAAGGCACCGACAAGUUUGGCGAUUGACGUAGUCAGAAUAAAAAUAUAAGGAUAAAUAACAA